rnacentral:rRNA from 1 species
GACUCUCGGCAACGGAUAUCUCGGCUCUGCAUCGAUGAAGAACGUAGCGAAAUGCGAUACUUGGUGUGAAUUGCAGAAUCCCGUGAACCAUCGAGUCUUUGAACGCAAGUUGCGCCCGAAGCCAUUAGGCCGAGGGCACGCCUGCCUGGGUGUCA